UUGUGCCUACGGGAGGCAGCAGUGGGGAAUAUUGCACAAUGGGGGAAACCCUGAUGCAGCAACGCCGCGUGAGUGAAGAAGUAUUUCGGUAUGUAAAGCUCUCUCAGCAGUGAAGAAAAUGACGGUACCUGAGUAAGAAGCCCCGGCUAACUACGUGCCAGCAGCCGCGGUAAUACGUAGGGGGCAAGCGUUAUCCGGAUUUACUGGGUGUAAAGGGAGCGUAGACGGCGAUACAAGUCUGAAGUGAAAGCCCG
rnacentral:rRNA from 1 species